AUUGAACGCUGGCGGCAUGCCUUACACAUGCAAGUCGAACGGCAGCACGGGAGCAAUCGUGGUGGCGAGUGGCGAACGGGUGAGUAAUACAUCGGAACGUGCCCAAUCGUGGGGGAUAACGCAGCGAAAGCUGUGCUAAUACCGCAUACGAUCUACGGAUGAAAGCAGGGGAUCGCAAGACCUUGCGCGAAUGGAGCGGCCGAUGGCAGAUUAGGUAGUUGGUGAGGUAAAGGCUCACCAAGCCGUCGAUCUGUAGCUGGUCUGAGAGGACGACCAGCCACACUGGGACUGAGACACGGCCCAGACUCCUACGGGAGGCAGCAGUGGGGAAUUUUGGACAAUGGGCGAAAGCCUGAUCCAGCCAUGCCGCGUGCAGGAUGAAGGCCUUCGGGUUGUAAACUGCUUUUGUACGGAACGAAACGGCCUUUUCUAAUAAAGAGGGCUAAUGACGGUACCGUAAGAAUAAGCACCGGCUAACUACGUGCCAGCAGCCGCGGUAAUACGUAGGGUGCAAGCGUUAAUCGGAAUUACUGGGCGUAAAGCGUGCGCAGGCGGUUAUGUAAGACAGUUGUGAAAUCCCCGGGCUCAACCUGGGAACUGCAUCUGUGACUGCAUAGCUAGAGUACGGUAGAGGGGGAUGGAAUUCCGCGUGUAGCAGUGAAAUGCGUAGAUAUGCGGAGGAACACCGAUGGCGAAGGCAAUCCCCUGGACCUGUACUGACGCUCAUGCACGAAAGCGUGGGGAGCAAACAGG
rnacentral:rRNA from 1 species